GUGACAGCGGCCGGGCUGAGGCGAGGCGGCCUGCAGCCCGAGGUCCGGCCCCGCUGGUGGCCCUUGUCUCUCCCCAUGGGCUUGUCCCGGGCCGCACGAGAGGACAGAGCCGUCUCGGGCGAGAGCGUCCUCUUCGAGGCUAGUGCCUGGCAUGUGGUUGGUGGCCAGUACUUGGCCGAAGUACGUGCAGGACGAAGAAGCUGUGCGCUGAUCUCGAGGGCCGAGGCCGCCUUUGUGAAAGUCUCGAGCUGCAAGCGACGCGGAGACACGAGGGAGCGCAGCUAACGUGGGGGUGACCCAGGGUUCCGGGCUGCGGUCCAGGUGUCAGUAGGCAGUGAUCGGUGAGCUAGUCAGUGAUCCGGGAGCUAGUCGUAAGGGCCUUGAUCUUGUCGCUAAGGAAUUUGGGGUGCGAUGGGUUACCCAGGAGUCUAUUGAAGCCAGUGCAGGGUGCGUUGGGAACUUGUGAAUGGGAUCCCUUCCGGGGACACAAGCAAAGGAUGGAAGAGAUGGAGGAGCAAAUCGUGGAGGAGUCACUAGAGGGAGGAGCUAACCAGUAGGAAGCAUUCUGAGGAGGUUACUCCUAUCCUGGCUACCUUUAGCCUCCUGACUGGGAGAAGGGAGAAUAAAAAUCAAGACUUAGGGGAUUUGGGAGCAGAGAUGACAUUCACCGCUAUUCAGACUCACGGGAGUGGGAUGCUGCUUUAAAGAAAGGAAGGAGUGAGGGAAGGAAAACUGGGAAAAACAGAGAAGGGAGAGGGAGAUGAGGGAAGAGGCCGAGGAUCACGGAUUUCCAGCUUAUCUCCUAACUCAGGCCAAAGACCCUUCGGGCAAAGCAUCCCUCACAGGAACUGAAGCUACCCCUCAAGCAAAAAGAACUGCCCUGAGCCAACAAGACAGGGAUGGUGACUGACCCCAAGACCUGUGGACAUGACCUUCACUGCUCACCUGCCCGUACUCACCGACCUUUGUCCCACAGUUCCCUCUUACAAACCUGGAAGUAUUUUCAGCACUUUGGAGAUGGUCUUUGAGAAGCUAGUCUGCUGCCUUCCAGGAGUCCGCCUCUGUGAAAUAAAUUCCUAUCC